CAAAAAACUCAUCGGGUACCAGAGGCAACACAAGCAAAACGUCCUUCCCGAGUCCCGAUCGCUCCCUCUGCGUCUGCUCACUUCUCCAUGACCACUGAUGCAGCCUUUUCGCUUAAGCGGAUUCCCGGAGUCCAGGAGCCAUCCAACGCUAGUAGUGAAGCUGCAGACAGUAAUGGUGGUCAACCUAGUGCUUUAUACGGCGAGAUCCUUUAAACUCGCCUUCCGAAACGCAGCACGUCUUGAAAUCGCCAACCAUGUAUACCUCAAAUUACUCAUCGGGUACCAGAGGCAACACAAGCAAAACGUCCUUCCCGAGUCCCGAUCGCUCCCUCUGCGUCUGCUCACUUCUCCAUGACCACUGAUGCAGCCUUUUCGCUUAAAUUCCCGGAGUCCUGGAGCCAUCCAACGCUAGUAGUGAAGCUGCAGACAGUAAUGGUGG